rnacentral:rRNA from 1 species
UACGGGGGGAGCAAGCGUUGUUCGGAUUUACUGGGCGUAAAGGGCGCGUAGGCGGCCACCGCAAGUCGAUUGUGAAAUCUCCGGGCUUAACCCGGAAAGGUCAACUGAUACUGCGGGGCUAGAGUGCAGAAGGGGCAACUGGAAUUCUCGGUGUAGCGGUGAAAUGCGUAGAUAUCGAGAGGAACACCUGCGGCGAAGGCGGGUUGCUGGGCUGACACUGACGCUGAACUGCGAAAGCUAGGGGAGCGAACGGG